GCUUAAAACCAGAAAACACUUAACCAAAAUCUAAAGCCUCCUCCGAAUUCUCUCAUGUCUCCCUCUCUCUCUCAUCUCCUCCACCCACUGCCCCCUCCCCCACCCGAUCAUCAAUCAGACAUUCAGACUUCAGUUCCUUUCUUCCUCAAUCAUAAAUCCACUUUCGAUUUCGAUCCGAUUCUUCUGGGGCGAAGUGUCGAACUCCCUAUCUUGAAUCUGCCUCUUCUAGAAGCACCAUGUGCUCAAGGCCAAGGAUGAGAAGGCCCUCCUCGUCUGUGCGAAGCCAGUCGCCGUCUUUGGGCUCAGAAACCUGGAGGUGAUCCCAUGGUGUCGGCUGGUGUUGAUAUUGUCCACUGGAGUGUUGAUAUUGUCCACUACAAUUUUCUUUAAUUUGAUUGCAGUAUGACUCAGUGUAUGCAUGAAUUGAAUGGCUGAGCUUUUUUAGCUUGAUAUAGCUAAUACAAGGUUUAAUUCUAUCUUCAGUAUGGCUGAGCUUUGAUUGCAUCAGUAUGACUUGGUUUUCGAUAUGUCCUUGUGAUUUCAUUUCGGUGACGGCGCUGGGUUUGGGCGACAGGGUUUAUGCUAAGAUUUCUAGGGUGGAGAUGGAGGAGCGUCCGCAGAGAUUGGAUGGAAUAGGACAAUCCCAAUCUGGAGGUCUCAUUUUGGAACCUAUUGAUGUUCUACUGCAAAGACGGGAGCAAAAGGCAUUUACAAGGGUAUGGUUCGUUCUGCAACAAUUAUUUCCUGCGGAGGCUAGCAAUGAUUGGAAGGGGCCAAUAUGAUGCUGCCUAUGAUAUAGGUCAGUUAACUAUAUUUUUUCAGAAACAUAUAUUUACCCUGAAGACUGCAUUUUGUACUUCAGGUGAUACAAAAUUUUGGAUUGAGAUCUUGUGGGUCAGUCUCAGAAACUAAAUAGGCAAUAUCUUGUUGUAUUUCUGGUUAUGUUCAAAGUUUAGUAAUGUGUGUUGGAGUUGGUUUGUUUCUUUAGAAAGUGAAACUCAUGUGUGGAUUCAAAUGACUCUUGCUUGACAGGGAACUUGAUGUAUGCUCAUUCUUGGACAAGGAUUAUGUUGUAAUCUUAGUGAUAUUCCACCUUGAACAACAAUGUAUACUAGGAAUGUAAAGAACAUCUUACUAUGAAUGUAAAGUUUAUUCAUGUUCGAUUGAGUUGUGGAUUUGUUCAUUUGAUUGUAAAUAUUUGAAGUGAAUUUAUUGUACAGAAAUCAAAACUAUUAUUA